GGAGGGUCCUCAUUCACUUCCUACCUUGGCAAUUAAGAACUGGCAUGAUAGUUUGUUAAGUAACAAAUAUGCUCUGCUGUUGGGAUGAUUUGAUUUGGCUGUGAUCUGAGCCAGUCGGAGACAGCGAUUAAGAUGCUAGGACUUGGUGAGAAAGUGAAAGCUGGUCAGCAAGAAGACUCGCCACUCACCUCAAUGUGUUGAUGAUCAAGCCGGAAAAUAGUGCAGCUGAUCAAAGAUGGUUAUCACCGUGUUCCUACUGGUUAACAAGUCUAGGCCAGUUUACUACCAAGGUUUGCAGGUUCCGCCCAUACCACGGCCAACUUCCCAUCAAGAUUUGCUGACCCUUGAGGCAACCUGAGGCAACACCAUUUGGACUGGAGAUAAGAGGAAGACUGGAGAUCAGAUCAAUGGAAGGAAUCUUAUCAGAAUACAAGGAUCAGCAUUGAAGACAAACACUCAAAAGGCAGGUCGGAAGACAACAAUAGGCCAUGAUGGUGGCUUCAGACUGAAACGUUAACAACUGUUCGGGGUGACUGGAGCCAUGCCUCUGGUUAGGCCCUUCUGCAAACCAAUAUGUGUAGAUGGCAAGAGAGGCGAGUAAUGACAUUACGGAGCAAGAACAGCAAGAUUCGGCAAGUCAUGAUGUUCACGUACACCAUUGACAGAGUGAGGACAGUAGAUAUAUCUACAACCAUUCUUAUAUCGAACUUCUACAGCCUGUUUCAAGAUCAGACUGGGCAUGGAUGUCACCGACGCAAUUCAAGCGAGAACCGUCACCACACGACAUCAGAAAGACAAAGCAGUUUGCUUUGGCAUCCACUGACAAACUGUCAAAAGCAAUGGUCCACCAAUUAGGUCCUCAGAAAGUACACUACUACAUGUUGAGAACAUUGCGAGCAUGAAGAAUAUCAGGAAGGACUGUGAGGCACAACAAAUACAUGGUCAUUUACUUCUUCAGCAGAAAGGGACUUUUUGUUUUCUAUGUUGGCCUUGGAGUUGAUUGGAGUUGGAAUUGGAGUUGGCCUUGGAGUUUCGGUGAUUCUACUUGACCAUGAGCAGGCUCAUUUUGGCCUAUAACUGUGUAGUUUGUGCUCUGUAGUAGUAUGUGAUUUGAAAAGUUGUAAAUCUGGUUAUUGGAGUAAAGAUUGUACAAUGGAAUAUCCACGGGUUAAAGAGCCAAUUAAGUGCCGCCAGGAGAGCCAAGAGCCAAAGAAAAAGUAUAGGCUUGAAUGAAUAUAAUUUAUUAUCUUUGGAAAUCCUAAGCCUACAGGUACCCUACUUGAUAAAAAAUAAAUUUAUUUUGUAACUGUUUAUGACGUCGUAAGACAUCGCCGGCUGGAUAGUGGUAUUGUUAACAGUCUACCAUGCCAAGAUUUUUUAUCAUACUGUUGUUACGCCGUCUAUACAAUAUGCCGGGUACAGUGUACAUUGAGUCUGCACUUCUCACACUGCGUACUCACACGUUUGUCAUUCCUGUUGUAUCAUGUAGCCUUGCACAAAUAGUGCAAUCAAAAUUGUUUUAUAAAGGCAUACAUGUAUUUCUCAAAUUUGUAAAUUCUUAAUUGAAAUCUACCAAUUCAAGCAAUUAGAUAGCGUAGUGAUACACUAUCACUAGGGCCUACCGGUACUCUGCAUAUCUGUACUGUAAAAAAACGGUGCUCGUGGCUCUUGGCUCUCAGAUUGGGGUGUCCCAAUGACCACACCUGGUAUUCUAUAAGUUACUGUAGCUUAGCUCAGUGGAGUGACCUUUUUGUUUUCACUUUUAAAAACCUAUGCGAUUUGCCGCACUGAAGAGAUUGUUGGACUGGGUCCAUUGAAUGUGACAAAAAUACCCAACACCUAUUUACAAAUGAAGUGAGGGGUGAGCCUUUUGGUGUAACUCCAUAUAACUGUCUGGUGAUUUCGCUCUGGGCUUGUGACAUUCUGAUCGGUCUGAAAUAAUCAUUAAAGCCCAUCCCUCAAUUUGAGGCCUGUGUCCCGAUGGUGGCGUUGAAUGGCAAAAUCAAAGGGGCAUGACGGCGGUUAAACCUGUUGCGAAUGGGCAGCAUCAUUACCAGUUCUGAGAUCUGGUGUGGUGUAGGAUAUCUGGUUACCAUUGCACACAUCUCCUGAAUCUGCGGUGGGUUGGUACCCCACGCUACGUAGGGGGAGGUUGCUGGGUAAGACUUGGUCCACGUGAAUGGGUAGUACCUGAAAGAUGAGAAGUUGCGAAUGGACGCCCUGUGAAUAUGUCCUUCGACCAGCCAGUGCUAACCCGGUCACUGUCUCCAGGUCACCAUGCCUCGGUCAAUGAGCGGGCGAAGAACCCAAUGGCUCCGUCAGGAGUACAUCGUCAACUUCAGCCCGUAGUCAAA